rnacentral:lncRNA from 1 species
AGCAUUAGAAAAUGAAGAUAUUUAAUUGUGUAUGUGAGCCAGAUUUCCAUAGUUGGUUAACCUGUGAAUACUUAACAAAUGUAUAUCCAUAAGUUUUUUUUUUAACAAAAGUGAAGGCAGAAAUGUAAGAUAUUCUUUGAUUUUUUUGCUUGACCUCAGAAAUACAUGGUGCUUUUAAGAAUAAUUUUAUUUUCUGAUUGUAUUUUUUUCGUAUUUUAUGUUUUUGAAAGCUCCUUCUUUUAAAAUGUUUUGAAUUAAUAAUUUUCAUUUCAUGAGUGAGUGUUUGACCGAAUAUAAGUUUAUUUACAUGCUCAUAGAGGGCAGAAAAAGGCAGAAGAUCCCUUGUGACUUAGAGUUUCAGAGAGUUGUGAGAGUCCAUGUUAAGAUCAAACUCUAAUCCUCUCGAAGAACAGCCAGUGCUCUUAAAUGUGAAGUCAUCUCUCUCUGCCCCUUCUUGAUAUUAAAUCCCAUGAGAAAGCACUAUAUCCUUGCUGUAGACUAGACUACAAGUAGAGAUCAUCUGUUCUUAUCUCUCUGAAAACUUCUAAGUUUAAGUAGUUACAACCAGUGCCAUAGAAUCUAGGACAUCUGGGCCAAGUGUAUACUGUUGCCUAGAGAAUGAUGUUCUCCUUAUUGGAAAAAAAAAUAACUGAACAAAUUUGAAAAGUUGAAAGGGAAGGAAAUGAAGUGUAACUAGAAGGAAGAUCAUUCCUGAAAAUACAAACCAUGAGGCACGAUGGAGCAGUGCUUGGGGGACUGUCAGCGACUGGGCAGGCAGAAGGAGAGUUCGUCAUUGACUUAUGGAAUCGGACUGUAGCCGUGUUCACAAAUGCCAAGCAAUUUUUUUAGAAGCACUCAGGAGUCAGUAUAAGUACAUUUAGGAGAUCUUAAAGACAGAUGUGACAUGCUCUGAUACUGUAUGAUCAUGUAGGAAUGGGUCAUGUUGUGAAAUAACAUAGAGGAAUAAACUACAGGUGCGUGUGGUAUCACAUUCACAUUUCAAAAAAGGAAUAUUGACUGCAACUCUUUUACUUUACUUACUAAUUUGAUUGGCAACUCAAUAUUUGUAUCAUUUAGGCUGUCCCUUUUACUUGCAAUUAGAAUUAAGAGUAAUUUUGACAAUUCUUAGGUUCAAGAAGGUUAUAUUAUUUCUACAUAUAUUUCUUUACUGGCAAUUAAAUAUGGAAUUAGAAUUUAGACCAGGUUUCUCUGCUGCUGGAUAAAGCAUGUUAACUAUAGGAGCUGUGGUUUGUCUGCACAAUUUCAUGGUCACAUGCAUAUGUCUAUAUUUCACCUUUAAUUGAUGCUUAGGUACAUACAGGUAAUUUUUAUCAAAGGAAUCCAUUCACCUCUAAAUAUAAAUUGUGGCAACAGUCAACAUUUCCAUAAGCUUGAAUCGUCUAUUCUGGGUAUUGUUAUUAAUUACUUAUGUUUUAUUCAGGUAGGCUACUAUAAUUCUAUUACAUUGGAGUUAUUCCUGCUCCUGAGCGCUAUCAAUUGCUUUUUGUUAUGCAUUCACUGUUCUUACUCUCCAACAAAGAAGAGACAAACUAACUAGAGAAAAAAACAUGAUGCUCACCAAGCUAAACUGGAUAGUGGCACUGAGGGCAAUGGGCUUCAUCAACAGUGUGCCCUACAUGACAUUCAACAUAUCAUUGUAUGGCUAUAGAAAAUAAAAUCACUUAAGCACAAGAAAGGCUUGCCCUAUCAUAACUAUAACCUUAUUUUAACACACACAUUUAUCAGAUGCUUAUUGCAUAAUAAUUUACACAAAGUUCUCUUACAGUUUAGGUUGACUAACCAUUGAUUUUGAGAAAAGUCACAUAAUAGAAUAAUUUGCAUAAACAUGUCACCAAAAAUGACGCCUACAGUGACACCUCCUAAAUGUUUACUACUAAUAGUCAUUUCACAUAUGAAAUUCCUGUAAAGCUUAUUUUCAAUGUCUGCAGCCUACAAAUUCAAGGCCGGUUAUGAUUAUUUAUCCCGCUCCUGGUGAUUGUACACAUUUGACCCUAAACGACAAAAUAAAUGAAAGCUCUUUUUCAAAGUAAUACAAUCAGUUCAAAAAAUAUUGUGCUAAUAAAGUUAUGCAUCCUAAUUGAAAGAUUGAUGGCAAUCCAUUUAGUAGUUACUGGGUUAUUUGUGACAGACAGAUGCAGAGUAACCUCAUUACAGUCAGAAUUGUGAUGACUUGGAGCUGAGGGGAGGAAUACAGCAUUAAAGCCCUGUCAUGGUCCACACUGUUCACCUAUGUGGAAGAUGAUUUAAAGGAAAAUAUGUGCCAUGUAGAUAGAUGUUUGAACCGGUUACCUCAAGGAUUAUUAUAAAGACGAUGAAGAGAUCAUCUGUUUGAUCCCUAAUUGGCCUACUUAAAAUUCACAAAUGAGAUUUACAGAUUGCAAUUUGUGGGAGAGAAAGAGGCAGGGGCAAUCUCUGCAGCAAGAGGCUAAGCUUUGUGGUUUGGUAUGGCAGUCCAUGUUUUCAGCUGUUUUCUUCUUGAUCGUUAAGUCUGUAUUGGUUUAUUUUAGCCAUCUCUGUCCACAAUCACCAGUUUGUGAUAAAUUAUUCAGCACUUUUCAUUUGUGUGUUCACCAGUAGUUCAAUGUCAGGCUUUGAGUGUGAGUUCUCAGGGGAACUCUGACCACAUCUUAAAGUUACGGGGCAGAGAAAAAGAAGGAAUAUGAAGGCACGUAAUUAUUUUCCCCUUGUUGAAAUCUAGUGGGAUAUAUUUCAUGUUUGGCUAAUUUUCAAACUCCCUUUUCUUGAAUUAUUAAAUAUAAUGGAGAAAUACUGACCAUAAAAAUGGGACCAUCUCCCUUCACAUUUUUUGCAAUUUUAUUCUCACUCCUCUACAUUUCUUACAUUCAUAAGCAUCCUCACAAGCAUAGAAAUUUUUGAUUCAGUGAUCACAAUGUAAGACUCUGUCUCACAUGCAAAGCCAUUUUUGUUUAGUCGCCUCUUGUCUGUGGCGAAUCUAAUGCCCAUUCAUGUUUGCAUCAUUUGGGUUAGAUUUAUAAUCUUCCUUACACUUAAACAUGUUCAACUUUUCUCCUGUGUCUUAUGUAAUCGGUGCCAUGUAUGUGUAACUUAGAACUUACCUUCCUCAUAAACUCUACAACAUUCAUGCAACACAAGAUUACUUCCUCUUCAUGGUGAGAGGUCACUUAAAUAUUUGCUAGAAUAUCAAUCAUCUGCCCAUUAAUUUAGCACAUGGUUUGUCAAAGUUAGCGUUUCCAUAUAAAUUUCUCUCUCUCAGUGGGUACUGAGUUAUAAAGUUUAGGAGCUAAUAAUAGAGCCUUGGUGAAGAAACCAUUCAUCAGUUGAGAAGUUACCUGUUUAUGUACAAUGCCAAAGGAUAAAUAGUGUGAGAAGGAGUAUCUUUCUCCCACUCCCAGCUGAACCAUUUACUACAGAUUACUCAUUAGCUAUGUGAUCUCAUGCAAAUUAUUGAACUCAAGUCUAGGUUAUUUUUCACCUACAGUGAUGGAUGGUGCAAGUUUAUUGAGAUAUUUAAGCAUAUAUUUUGUAAUUAUACAUGAUUGACUCAUUUAUUAGUCAUUAAGAUUGUAAAUGUUCAAAAAUUAAACAGGCUUUUGAUUCAUUAAGGCAUAUGAUCGCAGAAUGCUUAUCUGUGAGAUCAGUGGCAGGUGUCAGGAUGUGUUGGUUAAUGACCUAGAGGAAACUCUAAGUUUUGUAGGAUUUAAACCCUCAUGUCUGAACAAAUCAGUGUAGAAACUGAGAAACUAUGAAAGUGAAAGGGUACGGGGAAAAUUACUAAUCUCACUGGGAGUUUCGUGUCGAGGUUUCAGUCUGAAUGUGUCUAUGUGCUUGUCUGGUGCAAUUUUAAAUUGUCAUUUAAUAAUUUGUGUUUCCUAAACAUUAUCUUAGUUAUUUUUCCUCACCAUGAUGUUUAAUUCCUCAUUGUUCUAUGCUUUCAAUAGCUCUGGGUAAUUUGCUAUGCUAAUUUCAAUCUCUCUCUUUUAUUGGAUAUUUUCUUUAUUUACAUUUCAAAUGUUAUCUCCUUUCCCAGUUUCCAUCCCUCCCAGAAAUACCCUAUCACAUCUUUCCUCCUCCCGCUUCUAUGAGGGUGUUCCCCCUACACACACACACACACACACACACACACACACACACACACACACUGUGAAAAUCAUAUUUUACAGUAGAUAAAUAAACCACCUCAGUACACGUAGAUUUUUUUUUCUUAGUCCUUGUGCUAUAUAGUUAUUACAAACCAAUUUUAUCUCUAGCACUAAGCGAUGCUCAUGGAGAUAACUUGGUAUAGAUGUUGGCCUAAACAUUACCUGGGAAGUUAAAGAGUCCAGAACAGUAAAAUGUCAGUGGUCAGAAAAGAUUUAAAGUCUCAUACUUUGGGAGCUAUUAUAAGUGCCAAGAACAUAAGAAUAUAGAAAGAAAUAUAGCCUUCAGGAUCUUAAAUGUAAAAGUAAGCUGUUGGCCAGUUUUGAUAGCAUAAGCCCAUAAUUUUGGCUACUUAAGAGAAAGAUGCAGGAGUGUUGUGAGGACAAUCCUCUUUCUGGGCUACUAAGAGUGUUGAAGACAAGCCUGAAGAGUGUAGUGAGGCCCUGGCUCAAAAUAAAAAGCUUAAAUAACAAACGAAAUAGUUAAGUAAUUAUAAAGUGGCAUGGGGUCAGAGUUUAGUGGCAGAGGACAGGCUUUGGCUGUGUGAAGCUCUACAUUCGAUUGCCAAUGGAUCAAUCAGUCAAUCAGUAAAUAAGUAAAAUAAUUCACAUGAAUUAUUGAUAAGAUCUGAGAUAAAUCAAGGCAGAAACAACAAUUAACUUCUUUAAUAGUUUUGUUUAUAAAACAUACUCAAGAGCUCAGUACAAUAUUUUAAUUGAUGGUUAUAUAUUUUAAUUUUUAAAUUAUAAUUCAAUGGUUAGACAAACACUUGAGAAUAAAGUUUAUCUUUUGAUAUUUUAGUAACAAAAUUCUAAAUUUGUUGGACAAAUAUGGUACUAUAUUCUGAUAGAGUAUUUGUUUAUAUUGUGUUUAUGCU